GAUUGGGCAAUUCUGUUGCUACUUCUUCAGCAAGCCAUUAAUGCAGCCUGUUGUUUAAUUUGCAGAGCCUACUAUUCGCUGGUCAAGUGCAUAAAGAAGGCAGCAUCAUGCAAAAUGGAGAUACCAUGCCAUGUUACCAAGUAAACGCAGAUCCAAAGGUGAUUAUCUAAGCACCCAUGCCUUAUUUUUUCUUGCUGGUUUCAAUCGUGAUUUGAACCUUCAACUAAUUAGAAGAACAUAUAUUUUUGUUCCAUUACAGUGAGUUUAACAUGAUUCAUUUGUGUAAUUUUGUAAUUGUAUUCUUGGAAAAAUGUCAGGACACUUAUUGUGCGUUUAAAAUGAUUCAUUUGUGUAAUUUCUUUCCUGAUUGGUGGUGUGAAUGCACAUGCUCAUGGUUAUGGUAAUAAAUUUUGAUUAUCUAAGCACCCAUGCCUUAUUUUUUCUUGCUGGUUUCAAUCGUGAUUUGAACCUUCAACUAAUUAGAAGAACAUAUAUUUUUGUUCCAUUACAGUGAGUUUAACAUGAUUCAUUUGUGUAAUUUUGUAAUUGUAUUCUUGGAAAAAUGUCAGGACACUUAUUGUGCGUUUAAAAUGAUUCAUUUGUGUAAUUUCUUUCCUGAUUGGUGGUGUGAAUGCACAUGCUCA
rnacentral:lncRNA from 1 species